rnacentral:rRNA from 1 species
AUUGAACGCUGCGGAAUGCUUUACACAUGCAAGUCGAACGGUAGAGGGGGCAACCCCUCGAGAGUGGCGAACGGGUGAGUAAUAUAUCGGAACGUGCCCAGUCGUGGGGGAUAACGUAGCGAAAGUUACGCUAAUACCGCAUACGAUCUAAGGAUGAAAGCGGGGGGUCGCAAGACCUCGCGCGAUUGGAGCGGCCGAUAUCAGAUUAGGUAGUUGGUGGGGGAAAGGCUCACCAAGCCAACGAUCUGUAGCUGGUCUGAGAGGACGACCAGCCACACUGGAACUGAGACACGGUCCAGACUCCUACGGGAGGCAGCAGUGGGGAAUUUUGGACAAUGGACGCAAGUCUGAUCCAGCCAUUCCGCGUGCAGGAUGAAGGCCCUCGGGUUGUAAACUGCUUUUGUACGGAACGAAAAGGUCUCUCUUAAUACGGGGGACUCAUGACGGUACCGUAAGAAUAAGCACCGGCUAACUACGUGCCAGCCGCCGCGGUAA